AAAACAGGGAAUUAAUGAAACUCUUUUUAAGGAUGACUCAUGUACCCCCUAGCUUCCAUAUUCUGCACUUGACUGCAUGCCUAAGUGAGUGAAUAAAAAUGCUAAAGGCCAAGUUCCUUCAUGAACAAAACCAGUAUUUCUCAUUGUCUAGGCUGGUCCUGAUGCUAGAAGGGCUGAGAGCUUUGUAGUUUAAUGAUUUCAGGCUAAAGAAAGCAAAAAGCUUGGUUUCUUCCUUUGUACAGAAAGAUGGUAUGGCUAAUGCUAUUCUAUGAUUACAGGAUAAUCUUCAUAAAUCUCCUGAGACCUUUCUUUUGUUAGCUUUUGCAGAGUGAAUGAAAUAGAGGGCUGACUCAUCCACCUCCUGCGUAGCACUGUGAUACUUAGCGUUCCCUUAGAAACCAAGGUUUCAGAGUUCUUUCAGCAUCCCUGCACACACCUUCUUGGUUCUGCAUGCAGGAUUUUUAAUAUUCUCAUCUAGCUAAGCUACAUUUCACUUUCCUUCUUUGAGGUAAAAAUCUUCAGGCAAUAAAAAUAUACAACUGGGUUAUAAUGUAUAUGUGUACAUUGUUCAUGUCCCUGAUUUUUGUUGAGUGAUAGUAAUACUUAUUUGAUGUUUUGGAUAAAGCACUUAAUAAACCUCCUCACUCCAUCAGAGCCAGUGCCUGCUUAGAAACCAAAGCAUACAAAUACAUACACAAAUAGUAAAAACUUCCAUAAAUCAUUACAUCCUCUUGAAGUUAUUUUCCAAACAAAUCAUGAAUUCUGGUUAAAAAAAUCUGUGCAUUUCUUUAUUUUCUUAUUUAUAUUUAAGAAUGUCUUGAAAUAUAAUCCAAAUGAAGUGGAAUGAAAAAAAAUUGCUAGUCAGUGGUGGUGGCAAACGCCUUUAAUCCCAGCACUCAGGAAGCAGAGACAAGAAGAUCUCUGUGAGAUUGAGGCCAGCCUGAUCUACAAAGCUAGUUCUAGGACAGCCAAGGCUACACAAAGAAACUCUGUCUCAAAUAAAUAGGUAAAUGACAAAUAGAUAGAUAGAUAGAUAGAUAAAAAUAAAUAGAUAAAUAAAAACAAUUACCAAAAAGGAACAAUGUCAGAGCUACCUGAAGAGGUAUCAACAGAGGAUGGCUUCUGGGAGGAGAGUCCAUUUUCUUAAGGAUGUUGCCUAGUAGGUGGAUGCUCCAGAAAAAAACCUGCACACCCAGGAGUAUAUAGGCAGCACAAACUGGCCAUGAUGGGUCUUUAAAAAAAACAGAGGACAGGAAGUUGGUGGCAGGUGGGGAGAGCAAGACAGGAGUAAAUCUGGUAGGAGUUUGGGAAUGAAUGGGGUGAAUAUGAUCAAAAUACAUCUUAUGGAAUUGUCAAAGAAUUAAUAAAAAUAAUUUUAAAACAACCAGAAAAGGUUGGAGCUAAAAUCCCACAAGAAUUACUUGUUUAGAAUCAUCAGAGAUAGAUACAAAGUAAACAUUUAAAAUAAAUAUAAUACUGCUCACUUACAGUGUAUUUUUCUCUGAGUGUGGAUAUAUAGGGUCCUGCAAUGCUGAACAGAGAUGGAUUUCAGGUUUACACUAGUCAAUUCUGAUAGUGUCUUUUGUUCCCUGUGUUAUGUCCAACAUCACUGCUGAGUUAUUCUAGGACUUUCACACAAUAAUAUCUUCCCCUCCUGUAAGAUCUUUUAACUUCUAUGACCCCUUUCAUAGGUUUCAUGACCUAUAAAUAUAUAUAAACAUCUUCACAAAUAUGCACAUACACACAUAUAUAGGCAUAGAUAUGCAUAAUUUUAAAUCUAAGUUCCUCAUAUGAGAAGGCAUAUAAAAUAAUUUGUCUUUCUGCAUCUGGUUUAUUUUCAUUAACAUAAUGAUUUCUAGUUCCAUCCAUUUUCCUGUAAAUUUCAUGAUUUCAUUUUUGUCUAUAACUGCAUAAAAUUCCAUUAUGUAUAUUUAAUGCAUUUUAUUCAGUUAUCUGUUACUGUAUAUCUAGGUGGGUUCCAUUUCUUAGCUAUUAUAAAUAAUGAAGAAAUAAACAUGGAUGUGUAAGUAUCUGUGUGAUAUGUCUACUUAGAGUCAUUUGGAUAUAUAUCCAAUAAUGGUUCAGCUGGAUCAAAUGAUAGUUCUGUUUUUAAUCUUUUGGAGAAACUGCCAUACUGAUUUCCAUAGUAACUAUACAAGUUUACGUGCCCAACAGGAUUGAAUAAGCAUUCCUCCUGUCCCAUAUAGUUACCAGAUUUUGUUGCCAUUUGUUUCCUUGAUGUUAGCCAUGAUUACUGGGAUAGAAUAGAAUCUCAAAACAACUUUAUUGUUCGUUUCUCUUAUGGCUAGAGAUGUAGCAUAUGUUUUCAAAUGUUUAUUGCUUAUUUAUAUUUCUUCUUUUUGGAAAUAUCUAUUCAGUUCAUUAGCCUAUUUAUUGAUUGAAUAUUUCGCAUUUAAAUUUUUUAGUACUUUAUAUUUUCUAGAUCUUGAUUCCUUGUGCAAUGUGUAGUUGUAAAAACUUUUCUUCCCAUUUAUAGGUCAUCAUUUCAGGUUGGUGAUUGUUUCCAUAACUGUGCUAACGUUUCCCAUUUUCAAGUUUUGGAGUUAUUUCCUGUGUUAUUGAAGUACUUUACAGAGGAUUCUUGCCUAAUCCUUGAUCUUGAAGUGUUUUAUCUAUGUUUUCCUCCAGUAGUUUCAGUUGCAGGUCUUACAUUAAGGUCUACAAUUCAGUUUGAAUUGAUUUGUGCAGAGACUGAAAUAUAUUGAUUUUGUUUCAUUGUUUUACAUGUAGAAAUCAAGUUUUCCUCAUGCCAUUUGUUAAAGAGGCUGUGUUUUCUCCAAUGUAAAUUUUUUACAUCUUUGUAAAAAACAAUUAGGUAGCUGUAGCUUGUGUAGGGCUAUUUCCAAGUCCCAUAUUAAAUCUUAUUGUUUAACAUGUCUAUUUUUAUGUCAGUGCUAUGUUGGUUUUCUUGCUAUGACUUUCUUAUAUAAUUUGAGAUCCAGUACUGUGAUGCUUUUGCUCUUUCUGCUAAGAACAGAUUUGGUUAUUUGGGUGUUUCUAUAUAAAUGUUAAUUUUUUCUAAGUCUAUGAAGAAUGACAUUGGAAUUUUUUAGAGGAUUGCAUUGGCUUAUAUUUUCCAUAUGCUAACAAUAUAUUUGUCCUAUAUAGGUUUUAUUAUGCUGAGGUAUGUUCUUUCUAGUCCUUUUCUUAAGAGUUUUUUAUUAUAAAGGGAUAUUGAAUUUUGUUAAAGACCUUUUCAGAAUUUAGUGAGAUGAUCAUGUGAUUAUUGUCCUUGAGUUUAUUUAUGUGCAAUAUUAUACUUGUAGAUUUAUGUAUGUUAAAACAAUCGUGUAUCCUGAAAUGAAGCCAACAUGGUCUUGGUGUAAUCAUCAUCACAAUGUGUUCUUGAGGACAGUUUGCAAGAAUUUAAUAUUGAGAUUUUUUUUUUUUGCUUGUAUGUUCAUUGGGCAAAUUAGUAUUUAGUUCUUUCUUUUUUUCUUCUUUUCUUGUUGUCAUUCCUUUAUAUGGUUUUGAUAUGAGGGUAAACCUGAUUUAAUAGUAUGAGUGUGAUAGCCUUCCUUUCCUUUCUCCUUUUAUGAGACAGUUUGAGGAGCAUUGUUGUUAACUCUUCUUUAAAGGUAUGGUUGAAUUUGGCUAUGAAUCUGUCUGGUCUUUAGAUUUUCUUCAUUGAUAGAUUUGUUUUUAUUACUUCCAUAAUCUCCUUAGUUGUUGUAGGUUUGUUAAGAUUAUUUAUAUGCUCUUGAUUUAAUUUUGGUAGGUUUUAUGUGUCUGGGCAUUUAAACAUUUUUUUUCUAGAUUUUUCCAGGUUUGUUUUUGUUUUUUCCUUGUUUUUAAAUGUAGGUGUUCCCUAAUGAUUCUCUAAAUUUCAUUGAAAUCUAUGGUAAUUCUCUCCUUUCCCCUAGGUCCCAUUAUUUUCUGUCUUCUUUUCACUUUGGAUGCUUUAGCUGUGAGUUUCUUAGUCUUGUAAUUUCUUACAAAAAAAAAACAGUUCUAAUCAGUUUUAUAUUUUUUUUUGUUUUUUUAAUCUCUGCUGUGAUGUUCAGUAUUUCCUGUGCUCUGCUGCUUUGAAAUAUUCUUGUCGUUCUAAGAAUUUGAGAUGCAUUAGGUCAUUCAUUCAUUUGAGAUCUUUCUGAUUUUUAAUAGAAGCACUCAGAGCCAUUAAAUCUCCUCUUGGGGAAUUUGGAUCUCAUGAGCUGUGCUUUCAUUUUCAUUGGAUUCUAGGAAUUUUAAACUUCCCAAUUUCUUCAACUAAUGGCUGAAAAUCCAAGAGGGAAUCAUGGGGCUGGAGAGAUGACUCAGCAGACAAGAGCAUUUCUUGCCCUUGAACAAAACCCAGGAAAUUGGGUCUCCCAACUUUGAAGCAUAUAUAUUGAUGAUUGUUAUAUAUUUGAUGAACUAUCCUCUUUAUUAAUUAGAGUCACAUGCGGUUUCAAAAAACAGAUACAAGAAGACCUUAUAUGUCCUCUUUUCCAGCUAUCUCUAAAGAUAAUUGUUGUUACCAAUCCUCAUCAAAGAAGCCACUCCUUAGAGCAAAUGGAGACUAUCACAGAAAACCACAACUGAAUACAAUGCAGAGACCAACAGCUAUGCAGAGUCCAGUCUCAAUAUGUAGCCUUCAUCCAGUAACCGAUGGAAGUAGAUACAGAAAGCCACAGCCAAGCACCAGGCGAAGCUCCAGGAGUCCAGUCGAAGAGAUAGAAGAGGGAUUACAUGAGCAAGGGGAGUCAAGAUCAUGAUGGGGAAAUCUACAGAGACAUCUGAACCAAGCUCAAAGGAACUCAUGAACUUUAGACUGACAGCUGUGGAACCUGCUUGGAGCCAAACUAGAUCUCUGCAUACAGGAGACAGUUGUGCAGAUCCAGAUGUAGAUCUCUCAGCUACCUCUCCAGCACCAUGUCUGCCUGCAUGCGCCACGCUUCCCACUAUGAAGACAUUGGACUAAACCUCUGAACUGUAAUCCAGCCCCAGUUAAAUGGUUUCCUUUGGGUUUUUUGUUUGUUUGUUUGUUUGUUUGUUUUGUUUUUGUUUUGUUUUUUGUUUUUUCGAGAUAGGGUUUCUCUGUGUAGUUUUGGUGCCUGUCCUGGAUCGCAUUCUCUAGACCAGGCUGGCCUUGAACUCUGCCUCCCUACUUCUGGGAUUAAAGGUGUGCACCAUCACA